rnacentral:tRNA from 1 species
CGGCGGUUGGCCGAGCGGUUGAGGCAGCGAACUCAUAAUUCGCCAUAGGCAGGUUCGACUCCUGCACUGCCGA